CUUUUAUUACCAUUAAUAAUAAGUCAUAAAAUCUAUGUUCUUAUCCAUCAAAAGCCAUAAAAUAAUAUGAAUUGCAAUAAUAGUAUGAGCGCAUAAGUGGAGGACAAAUAAUGUUUGUGAUUCUAAUAAAUGAAAUAAAAAAUAGAAAAUUUGAACUAUCCUAAACAAAAUAUUAAUGUCUCCUAAAUACAUUUUACACUACAAAAAUUUGCCAAAUUAGCGACGAAUUUUGGCGAGAAAUGUUUUUUGUCACUAAUCCGUCACUAACUUGCGAGGAAUUAGUGACACACUAACGACAAAAUUAAUAAGCGGUCACAAAAUAUCCGAACUUGAGAAAAGCGACUGAUUAGCGAGAGAUUCACGUGUAAGUUUGUUUCUCGCAGAUUGACUUUUGUAGCUAAAAAAAGAGCGGAAAAAAUUUCCUCUCUAAUUUGUCACAAAUUAAUUAGCGAGUGACAGUGUUCUAGCAAAUCAGUCACUUAGCGGUUCAAUCGAAUAAAACUAAAGUAGUGAGUGAUAUUAUUGUCACUAUUCCAUCGCAAGUGUUUGAUAUACAAUUAGCGAGAAACAAUUUACACACCAGUUCGUCGCUAAAUAAACUUUGUUCGAAAAGACUAAUUAGUGAAGAACAAUGUUACUAGCUAAUCCGUCACAAAGACUUGAAAUGCAUUUUGUGAUGGACAAAUUCCUAGCUAAUUUGUCAUCAAAGUUUUUAUUUUUAGCGAGCAACUAAUUUCUCGCUAAUUUGUCGCAUAAUAUAGUAAAAAUUCAAAAUUAGGGUAGCGACAGAAAACAGUUGUCGCUAACUCGUCGCAAUAGAUAAAUUAUUCAGCUAAGGAAGUGUUCCUUGCUAAUUAGUCGCUAAAGUGGAAAUACGGAUAUUGAGUGCCUAGGAUCUAAGUAGCGAGAAAUUUGCGACCGUUUAACCAUUGACACACUUCAUUCGCUGAUUUCAAGUCGCUGCAGGAGAAAUACAUUUGUCGCUAAGUUGUCGCAAGUUUAAUUUAGCGAGUGACUUGGCAACAGCAAUAUUGUCGCAAAGCAAAAGCUAUAUCCUACCUAUUUUGUAGCAAAUUACUCGCUAAUCUCGUUGGAAAUCCGUCGCAGAGUUAUAACAAAUCCAAAACUCACAGAGAAAAUGUUAGAAGUAACUGGUCGCAAUUGAGUCACUAAUCAAAAGCUUAUUUAGUGAGGAAUUAGCGACCGCUUGACAACUGAUAGAUUUUCCUCACUUAUUUCAUGUUGCUACUAAUUUAUGAGGAAACAUGUUAGUCCUUAUUCUAUCACUAUUUUAAGUAGCGGCUCACGUACCUGUUCAGCCGCUUUUUUGAAUGUAUAAUUUACUUCAAA
rnacentral:lncRNA from 1 species